CUUUAUUAACCCACUAAGUCCUCAAAACAACCCAUGUGGUAGUUAACAAUGAUUAUAUCCAUUUUUAGAUGAGAAAGUUGAAAGAGUAACCUCACAGCAACUUGCCUAAGCUCACACAGUUAGAAAGUGACAAAGUAGAGAUUUGAACCAAAAGCAAACUGCUUCUAGAGUCCAUGCUCUUGCUAAAGUCUGGCUCUUUACAAACAUUAUUCUACACUGUCUUUCAGGAAAUAUUUACUGGAUGCCAACUAUGGGCACUGGGGCUAAAUCCUGAAGAAAGUGACGAAUAAGACAAACCUCUACCUUCAAGGAAUUAUCAGUCGAUAGCAGGGGCCCACUGACCAUGCUGCUUGUUUCUCUAUGGCCCUCGGCUGGAGUGUGCUGGCGAAAUCUUGGCUCACUGCAACCUCCGUCUCCUGGCUUCAAGCGAUUCUCCUGCCUCAGCCUCCUGAGUGGCUGGGACUACAGGCACGUGCCACUUUCAUGCGCGUCGGUGUGAAGAGACCACCAAACAGGCUUUGUGUGAGCAACAUGGCUGUUUAUUUCACCUGGGUGCAGGCGGGCUGAGUCCGAAAAGAGAGUCAGCAAAGGGUGGUGGAUUAUCAUUAGUUCUUAUAGGUUUUGGGAUAGGCGGUGAAGGUAAGAG
rnacentral:lncRNA from 10 species